AGUGAACGCUGGCGGUAGGCCUAACACAUGCAAGUCGAACGGCAGCACAGGAGAGCUUGCUCUCUGGGUGGCGAGUGGCGGACGGGUGAGGAAUACAUCGGAAUCUACUCUGUCGUGGGGGAUAACGUAGGGAAACUUACGCUAAUACCGCAUACGACCUACGAGUGAAAGCAGGGGACCUUCGGGCCUUGCGCGAUUGAAUGAGCCGGUGUCGGAUUAGCUAGUUGGCGGGGUAAAGGCCCACCAAGGCGACGGUCCGUAGCUGGUCUAAGAGGAUGAGUGGCCACACUGGAACUGAGCCACGGUCCAGACUCCUACGGGAGGCAGCAGUGGGGAAUAUUGGACAAUGGGCGCAAGCCUGAUCCAGCCAUACCGCGUGGGUGAAGAAGGCCUUCGGGUUGUAAAGCCCUUUUGUUGGGAAAGAAAUCCAGCUGGCUAAUACCCGGUUGGGAUGACGGUACCCAAAGAAUAAGCACCGGCUAACUUCGUGCCAGCCGCCGCCGUAA
rnacentral:rRNA from 1 species